rnacentral:rRNA from 1 species
GAUGAACGCUAGCGGCGUGCCUAACACAUGCAAGUCGAACGGAAUCCCGCCUUUAAGUCCUUCGGGUCGAAGAGGGGAAGCCUGAGUGGCGGACGGGUGAGUAACACUUGGGCAACGUGGCUCAUAGCGGGGGAUAACAGACGGAAAUAUCUGCUAAUACCUCAUAAGCACACACUGCCGCAUGGCAACCUGGGAAAGGUGAAUGGCGAUGAGAUGGAUCCGCUUCUGAUUAGCCAGUUGGCAGGGUAAGGGCCUAAGAAAGCGACGAUCAGUAGCCGAGAUGAGAGGAAGAACGGACACAUUGGGGCUGAGACACGGCCGAAAAUCUUACGGGAUGGGGCAGAGGGGGAUAUAGCCCAAUGGGGGGAGUGCUGAAGGAGUGACGGUGGGUGAGUGAAGAAGUAGGGAGGUAAGUAAAGCACUAUCAGAAGGGAAGGUAAUGACGGUACCUGAAGAAGAAGCCCCGGCUAACUACGUG